rnacentral:lncRNA from 1 species
AUCGAUCGAGAAGUCAGCUGAUGCUGACAGGUUUGAUUCAAAUGCAAAUAAAUUGUCUACAGAAAACAAAGGUUAUGUAAGCAAAGAUACCUCUCUUAACUCAGAAGACUUCCAUUCGGUCCAGAACUGGUUGGAACCAGAAAAUGAUGGGCAUUUGAGAUCGCUUCCAAUGGAUGCAGAGUUGCUGAAGGGUUCAGCCAAAGAAAAUGAUGGGCAUUUGAGAUCGCUCCCAACGGAUGCAGAGUUGCUGAAGGGUUCAGCCAAAGAAAAUGAUGGGCAUUUGAGAUCGCUCCCAAUGGAUGAUGCAGAGUUGCCGAAGGGUUCAGCCAACGAUCGAAAUGGCAGCCCACCGGCUGAGCUCAAUUCGCUUGAACACAUUCAAAUGGAGAUUCUGAAGAAGGUCGACGAAUUGAGAGAGGAAAUCAACGGAAUAU